CCUGACUAGUCUUUCAGGUAAUGUGUGCU
rnacentral:misc_RNA from 1 species